AGAACGACUCUCGGCAACGGAUAUCUCGGCUCUCGCAUCGAUGAAGAACGUAGCGAAAUGCGAUACUUGGUGUGAAUUGCAGAAUCCCGUGAACCAUCGAGUCUUUGAACGCAAGUUGCGCCCGAAGCCUUCUGGCCGAGGGCACGUCUGUCUGGGAGUCACGC
rnacentral:rRNA from 1 species